GAAUAAUAAACAAGCAAGUGGAAACCCUAAUCAUCUCCUAACCAUUCAUUCAAACAUGUUUUAAAGGUUAAUCAAUUGACACAUUGUAUGAAGAUAAUCAAGUUCAAACAUGUUAAUGAUAAAAAUCAACACUUGAAAGAGUGUUCUAUAAUCAUACAAACAUUCAACAACAAGAGAUGAACCAAAGGAUUUGAUUAGGAUCCCUAAAAAAAACACAAAAAAAAGAACAUGUUUUCCGUCAAAUCAAAAGUGGUGAAAUAAAUAAUAUUUUUGGAAUUUUUUGGUGUUAUCAUAAAAUAGACAUUCUCAUGAACACAUGGCAAAAAGAAUGGGUCAAAAAGGUUAAGGGAUCAUGAAGUUAUGGGUUUUUGAAGUUAUUAAGAAAAAUGAACAUUUAACAAGUGAGAAAAA
rnacentral:lncRNA from 1 species